rnacentral:rRNA from 1 species
UACAGAGGGUGCAAGCGUUAAUCGGAAUUACUGGGCGUAAAGCGCGCGUAGGUGGAUAAGUAAGUUGGAUGUGAAAGCCCUGGGCUCAACCUGGGAAUGGCAUUGGAAACUGGCGACCUAGAGUGCGGUAGAGGGCAGUGGAAUUCCCGGUGUAGCAGUGAAAUGCGUAGAGAUCGGGAGGAACAUCUGUGGCGAAGGCGACUGCCUGGACCAGCACUGACACUGAGGCACGAAAGCGUGGGGAGCAAACAGG